CACCUCUUUUGGCCUACAAGUAGUCUAUGAAGUGAAGGAAAUAUACGAUAGUGUAGUACAUGCAAUUUUAAAAUUUUAUACAGUAAAAAUAAUAGAUUAAAUGAUUUAAUCCUAAUCACAUAUAUAAGAUCCUAUUUUAGACUACCACAUCAUGAUCUUUGAUAUGAAAAUAUAUACUUUAGAUCUAAAAAUAAAAAUCGCAUCGAUCUCAUCGAUACUGAAAUUCUAGAUC
rnacentral:lncRNA from 1 species